UAGGGAAUCUUCCGCAAUGGACGCAAGUCUGACGGAGCAACGCCGCGUGAGUGAAGAAGGAUUUCGGUUCGUAAAACUCUGUUGUUAGAGAAGAACAGCGCAUAGAGUAACUGUUAUGCGUGUGACGGUAUCUAACAAGAAAGCCACGGCUAACUACGUGCCAGCAGCCGCGGUAAUACGUAGGUCCCGAGCGUUGUCCGGAUUUAUUGGGCGUAAAGCGAGCGCAGGCGGUUAGAUAAGUCUGAAGUUAAAGGCAGUGGCUCAACCAUUGUAGGGUUUGGAAACUGUUUAACUUGAGUGCAGAAGGGGAGAGUGGAAUUCCAUGUGUAGCGGUGAAAUGCGUAGAUAUAUGGAGGAACACCGGUGGCGAAAGCGGCUCUCUGGUCUGUAACUGACGCUGAGGCUCGAAAGCGUGGGUAGCAAACAGG
rnacentral:rRNA from 1 species